rnacentral:lncRNA from 1 species
UAUUGAUCGAGAAGGACAUGCCAAUUUGUUUUGACCAUAUGUCGUUACUAUAUAUAUCUAUAGUUUGGCAACGGUAUAAAACCGAGGAAAUUUAUAUAAAUAAGUAUAGUGAUAAGACUAGCCUGUCGUUUAUUUUAUCGACGAUACAAUUAUUUAACUAUUUUACGGCUAAUUAUAACGCGUUUUACUUUUUAAGAGAAGAGGGAAAAAAAAGAAUUGAGGCAUUUAAUAUUACUACGGUUCAUUAGCCGUUUCGCUUCGUUAAAUCACUAUUAUAAAAAUCGCCGUCAGUUUUGUUUGGAAGUUUACCAAAUUAUGAUUAUCAUUUUUAAAGAUUAUAUAGGCAGUAAAAAGUUUCGGUAACGAUGUGGCAACAAGUUCUUCUUGCUGUUAAUAUUGUUUGUAAGAGAUAUAAUUGAUCGCCGAGUUUUGAUCCUGGGGAUCUUCCAACCAUUUCGUAUAUGUCAACACACACUAUCCGGUACCUGCUUUAUAUCAACUGUGGAUGAAUCGGAUAAUCAUCAUUUGUAUUGAUUUUGCCAACAUCAUUUCCAGACGUAUUGACCUCGGACGAAACAGAAUUUAAAGUUUUGACUAAGUUGAAAUUAUUGCAUCUCUAGAAUAAUGUAUUCAGACUGGAUCGGUUCUGUAAAGUUAUUUCGUUUGUAUGAAAAUUCAUCGCUUUUAUAACAAAAAUAGAUUCCGUAUCAUUCUGAAAAAACAGUAAAAAAACAUUUUCCCCCCCUCCUGGAAUAAAUAUUAACUUCAAAUUCGUUGUUACGGUAUAAAAGACAAAUGAAUAAUUGCCAGAAAGAUGUAUCAUCGCCAUAUUUAUCAAAGUGCAAAGUAUUAUUAUUUUUCUUUCUUUCGAGCUGUCAUACCGCAGAUGCGUUAUGUUAGGCUAUUUAAAUUUUUUUUAUCUCAUGCCUAGAGCAUUGCUCUUAAUAGUUCUAAGUAAAGCAUACCUAUUUCAGCUGUCGCUGGAGAGAAUUAAAGGUUUCGUACCUAACCGAUAUGAAGAAUAACAAGGCUGAAGAGCAGCCACACCGAUAUGUGUCAACGGUAAAUUAGUCCAGCCGGUGACUUGCUGAUAAUUCUGCAAUGUCACGCGAUUACCGUGCACGGUUGAUGUUUUUUAGGAGGAAAGAGGAAGAUAUUUUUUUUUUUUCUGUGUGGGAGAAUAACGAGAUUUAUGUGCUUUCAAAAUGGUUGAACGAUAGACAAAUGUUUACUCAACCAAUCUUUCUUUUCCCUGAUGAUAUACUGUAAUAUGUUAUAAAAAAAAGGCAUCCUAAUUCAACUAGAGGAUGUAUUGUCGCGGAUGCUGUUACACACUAUUCGCCUGGAUGCGGAUGAUUAGAAUCGCUAUUCUGACGUUUCUCCAUCAUUUUAUUAUUUCGACAUCAUGAAAAAUCUGUUCCUGAAAUUAAGCCAGUCUAUGUUUAGGCUUUUUAAAGAUGUCCAUCUAAAAUUAAAUGUUGCUGUCAUUGCCAAAAUUGCGUGGCAGGUCAACUUUCUCAUACUUCAUUUAGAUUAUUUCUGUAGAGUUAUUUAAUUUCGAUAUAUAUAUUUUUUUAAAAUUUAAAUUAUCAAAAUCUGACUACGAUUAAAUGACUCUGGAUAUUUUCUAGAUGAUAAUUUGUCCGGAAAUGUCAUAAAUAAAAUUAAUUAGUUCCAUUAAUAGUAAGAAAAACUCCGGUUUAAAUUUAUUGCCCUUACG